GCUUACGGCCAUACCACCCUGAGCACGCCCGAUCUCGUCCGAUCUCGGAAGCUAAGCAGGGUCGGGCCUGGUUAGUACUUGGAUGGGAGACCGCCUGGGAAUACCAAGUGCUGUAAGCU
rnacentral:rRNA from 1 species